rnacentral:rRNA from 1 species
UGGCGAACGGGUGAGUAACGCGUGAGGAACCUGCCUCAAAGAGGGGGACAACAGUUGGAAACGACUGCUAAUACCGCAUAAGCCCACGACCCGGCAUCGGGAAGAGGGAAAAGGAGCAAUCCGCUUUGAGAUGGCCUCGCGUCCGAUUAGCUAGUUGGUGAGGUAACGGCCCACCAAGCCGACGAUCAGUAGCCGACCUGAGAGGGUGACCGGCCACAUUGGGACUGAGACACGGCCCAG